AUGCACUUUAUUCUUAACCAUUGGCUGAUCUAAGCUCUUUUUUUACCAGAACACGUCGAUGCAUAGCAUUAAACGCUUGCCCAAAAGAGUCCACAGCUCCCUGCGCUCAAGCAUUAUAUUGUCUGACCUCCUGAGGGUCGUUGAGGAGUUGGCAUAUAAUAGCAGCGACACAAAUGCUUAAAAGAAAGUGCUAGUACAUUGGAUAAGAACAUUGGCACAUGUGACUGGGAGCCCAAAAGACUAUUUCCUAGACGGUGUUCUAUGGAAUCUUCACAUACAGGAAACUAAAAUUUAUAUCAUAGGUUGGAAAUGUUCCUAAAG